AGCUCCCUUGAGCAUUUGCCAGUCAAAAGUGUUCUUGAGCCGAUAUUUGUAAACCCGGAGGCAACUCGUUAGAUGUUGUUGUGCAUGUCCGCACGUCGGAAAGCCUUAUACAUCGCGGGAGCCACCACCUGAACCCUUCGGUUCAGGGCAAGUUUGGUAGCGGUGUUCCGGGGGGCUU
rnacentral:other from 1 species